GACGAACGCUGGCGGCGUGCUUAACACAUGCAAGUCGAACGGUGAAGCGCCUUCCUUUUUGGUGGGUGUGGAUGAGUGGCGAACGGGUGAGUAACACGUGAGUAACCUGCCCCCUUCUUCUGGAUAACCGCAUGAAAGUGUGGCUAAUACGGGAUAUUCUGGGUCUGUCGCAUGAUGGGUCUGGGAAAGAUAUUGUUUCGGUGGGGGAUGGGCUCGCGGCCUAUCAGCUUGUUGGUGGGGUGAUGGCCUACCGAGGCGGUGACGGGUAGCCGGCCUGAGAGGGUGGACGGUCACACUGGGACUGAGACACGGCCCAGACUCCUACGGGAGGCAGCAGUGGGGAAUAUUGCACAAUGGGCGCAAGCCUGAUGCAGCGACGCCGCGUGAGGGAUGGAGGCCUGCGGGUUGUGAACCUCUUUCGCCAGUGAAGCAGGCCUGCCUCGUUUGUGGGUGGGUUGACGGUAGCUGGAUAAGAAGCGCCGGCUAACUACGUG
rnacentral:rRNA from 1 species